GACGAACGCUGGCGGCGUGCCUAAUACAUGCAAGUCGAACGAACCGCGACUGAGUGCUUGCACUUGGUCAAGGUGAGUGGCGAACGGGUGAGUAACACGUGGGUAACCUACCUCAUAGUGGGGGAUAACAGUCGGAAACGACUGCUAAUACCGCAUAGGACAUGGACUCACAUGAUUCUGUGAGGAAAGGUGGCGCAAGCUAUCGCUAAGAGAUGGACCCGCGGUGCAUUAGCUAGUUGGUAGGGUAAGGGCCUAUCAAGGCGAUGAUGCAUAGCCGACCUGAGAGGGGGAUAGGCCACAUUGGGACUGAAACACGGCCCAAACUCCUACGGGAGGCAGCAGCAGGGAAUCUUCCGCAAUGGACGCAAGUCUGACGGAGCAACGCCGCGUGAGUGAAGAAGGUCUUCGGAUCGUAAAGCUCUGUUGUUAGAGAAGAACAGCGCAUAGAGUAACUGUUAUGCGUGUGACGGUAUCUAACCAGAAAGCCACGGCUAACUACGUG
rnacentral:rRNA from 1 species